rnacentral:tRNA from 1 species
GACCACGGUAGUUUAAAUACCAAACCUUUAGGUCGUGGCCCUAACAACAGAAAGUUUGCCUUUCUCCAUGGCC